CAAAGGCCACUACAACACGAGUGACAGUCCGGUCAUCACACUUGUCUAUUUCCCUCCCGAGUGGUCAAGCUGUGAUCACCGCGAACUUGUCACCGCCGUCUCGGUCGACGCGUGAACUUGCGCCAGUUUUCACACCUUUUCUGAAUAUCGUCAAAACCGGUCGCCGUGUGUUGUUGCCGCGGUAAGCCCGACACCUUUUUGUUAUACGUGUGUGCCCGGUUGCGUUGUCCGGUGGCAUAAAACCACGUGUUUAUUACGACUUUUAAGCGGCGUUUAUAUAAACUUACGUUUUUCUAUUUAAUAUCGUGGCAUUGUGUGCGACCCGAUAUAUAAUUGUAUCAUAUUCUGCUGAUACUCAACGUGCGAUCACUUUUUUGCCCAGCUAUCGGCCAGGGUGUAACGUACCUUUUUCGGUCAUUGUAAUACAUACACUAUUUUGUAUAUAUACAUAUUAUAUCAGUAUAUUAUACGUAUACUGAUUUACGUCGUCAAGCUUAUCCUAAUAUUCGAUUAUACCAGUGAAGAUUCCCAACUUGGACCCGGGAAAGUUUGGAUCGACACCACUACUGGAUAUCAGAUAGGCUUAUGGCGAUGUGCCGAUGUGUAUUAUGUGCAUAUACUACAUAGUACCUACUUACAAUCAUACAUUUGUGCGGAGAGAUUUACCAUGACUCCGUGAACCAUUUAUAAGUUUAUGCAGACGCGUAAAAAGUGUGAAGAUUUGGUUGAUAGAUCAAAGUUCAGGAGACAGCAGUUUCAGUUCUACGAGGUAAAGACCGACGAGGUAAUACAGAGAAGAUAUAACUGCAUUUAAAAAAGUUUGAUUUUCAAAUUGUUUUCAUAUUAAUAUAUUGUUGACACGUUCUUUGUUCUUCGCCACUACAAAUUAUGAGAAAAAUAUUUUUAAUAAUAAAAAUAUUUCUUGGCACCACGGGAGGGACGACGAUCACGGCAAAUGAAGAACGAGGAUCCAUGGCGGCGGUCUCCGGUCGGCCGCCAAGACGACAAUCAACUUAUUAUUAUCUAACAUGUACUUUUUUCUGUAAGGGGAUAAAUCGGGGGAUUAUCCCCGUCAUCGGUCUUCCCAUUUGUAACAACGCUGUAUAACUUUUUGAUAUUUUUUCAAUAAACGAUGACGUCGAGCGUCGCGGAGGUUAUGCUAAAGCAGUUCCCGCGGCCUCAUCGAUUCAA